CCUGCCAGUACUGUGAAUGGAACUGCCGAUUACCGUCCUUUACUCCCCCCUGCUCGGAGCGAGGACUUGGUACAUUCCGUUUGUUGCUGCUGUAGCUAGUAUGUCACCAAUUCAGUAGUAGCAUAACAGUCAGCCUAACAUUAGCUUGAACGAGGUCUGUCGAGAAGAGUUACAAAUAAACAAACAAUAGAAAGAGACUAACAAGCAGUCACAUAGGUAGUGGAAAAGCCCGGACGAGAGAGAAAAACAAGGAAUUACGCUGCUGUUUUCUCCGCGCCCAGUUGCCUUCCUUUGUUUGGCGUCCCUGAUAUGACCCUGUUUAAGAGUGAACACCGCAGUCCAAGAUAUAUGAGCAUGAGUGGGGAGCUGAAGCCCGUUCGUCCCAGGACCGCGGGCAAGCGAGCCAGCAGCACUUCCUAUGGGACGGACUUCGACGUGGAGUAUGACAGCUACCAGGAGGACUACUAUGACAGGGUGUACGACUACCAGCGCGUGCCCGCCCCCCUGCACCCGCUCCCCCAUGGACCCAGCCAGGCCAAGAGACCCCGCUCGUCCUCCCACUCCUCCGGCCACAGACGCAGCCGGGACAGAACUCACUCCAAGCUCUCCAGAGCCAAGUCCACUAGUUCAACCCCGGCCAAGCCUGCAGGUGAGGAGCUGCAGGUGAUUAAGCUGAGCUGACUCUGAUUAAGACACAAAUUGAUGGGCUGCUCGACAGCCUGGACAAGAUGGACACCCAGAAAAACAACCACAAAGAUAAGCAAUCACAGCUCUGACCUUGAGGAGGACAUGUGAGACUGGAGCGAAAGACAAGUGUGCCAAACACACCGGAAGCAAGAACCGCCAUCCUGCCAUCCAUCGCCCCCCCCCCCACCCCGCCCCCAUCACAGGCCCCGCCUCCCCAGUGCACCACGCGGAACCGGAGCAGAACGCACCCAGGAAGUGUCUUCUCUCUCGUACCUAAUAUACUAAGUUCUUAUGGUGCAGCCCCAUAGUCCCGUUAAACCUGUCUCCUUUCCUCUGUUCCUCGCUGUGAUAAAUAAUCUAUUAUAAAGAGGAGGAUGUGCAAGUACACCACAUACCUUCACACACAACCUUCACCCCCCCAUCCCCCUUCCCCCCCUAGACCCAUCACUCACGGUCACCUUUUUGACCGUGCGUUUUACUCUAAAAACAUAGAAUAGUGUUUCUCUCCAUACAUAUUGAAUAUUGAAUGAAUCGCGAGAUUGGAUUGAAGGUGAUUAAACGACAACAAUCACAUCUUCUGCUUGCUGUCAUGUUGACGUCAGAUGGCUCAUAGUAACACCAGGCCCUCGUUUCCACCUUUUCAGCCCUGCUUCAAGGUCUUUGAAUAUAUAUAUCAUUAUCUCUUCCACUCCGGGCAAAUCCUACCCUGUGUGUUCCUGUCCCCUUCACCCGUCCCUCUGACCUCCUCGGCUGUGUUCUCGUUUGCUUUAGGAGUUUGUUUUUAUUUGUUCUCUCUUUUUUAAGUCAUUAUGCUCUAUUGUAAUUAUCAAGAUGUAACACGUGUUGUGAGUGUUCGGACACACAGGAAACACUCAAUAGACCAGUACUUAAAGGUAUUUUCAUACUGACGUCAACAUACCUGUGUUUUGUACUGGGUCUUACCGUAGAAUGGCCACACUAAAUGAAAUAGAAAAAAGCGUUGUUGUUUUUUCUGUAUUUGGGGGGUGUUGGUUGGGGGGGCAGAACAGCUAUCAAUAAGAUCAUCAGACCAACAUGUUUUCUUUGCUAAUUAUCAAAACAAAAAACCUUUCCACAUUUGUGCAAUACCGAACACUUAUGAAGGCAAAUUAAGGAUAAGUACAUCAAGUUACAUAAUAUAGCAUGUUUUUUUUUAGCAAUAUGUACAUUGAAACAAAUUGUGAAAUAUGGAUAAAUAUAGUUUGAAAUAUCAACGUUGGUGUUCAGGUGUGGAGAUAAUUGUAAAUGGUAUGUUGGCAAAUACACAGGAUGAUCAGCACAUCAAAUAUCGUUUUAAAGCGGGGUGGGGGUAAGCACAGCAAUGGAGGACAGUGUAUUCAAAAUAUGAAAAAAGCAAUUGUAUUGUUCCUUGGUAAAAUAAACUAUUAACCAUUGACGCUGUUUCAUUUAUUUCAUUGGUGGCUUGAACGCUAGACAUUAAGUAUCAGCGAAUGCUCAAUAUAUAUGGAGGGGUGGUUUGCUGGAUGCAGAGGCCCUGAGCUGUCAUCGAUGGAAAACG
ensembl:lncRNA